UCACAGCAAUGGGAAUGUUCAGGGGGGUAAUUUAAAGACAUUAGUUAAAAAACAUUAUUUAUCCUCUGGGUGAAGGGACAAUAUCUGGCAUCCAGCCUAGGGGGUUGGUUUUUUUCCCCCCCUACUUUCCAGUGAUCAGGCAAGUUUGUGCAAGGGAAUCACAAACCAGAGAAUGCAGAAUCUUUUAGGAGCAUGGUCUUUGAUCCAGCAAUCACCCUAUUUCCCCUCCUGAUCAGUGUUCUGGUUCUCUUCUGGCAGUAUGGCCAGACAAGACACAAAGCUGGUGAUGAGUGGGUGGAGCAGUGUUAGAGCAGAAGCUUGCAAGAGGUUCAGUGGUUGCCUGUGCUGUGGGUGGCUCCACCCAGCCUUGCUGUGUACAUGACAGCACCUGGUGCUCUUAGUGUGGCUGAUAGGGCAUUGAAGUGGACCUCCAGAGCCAUUUUGGAGUGAGCAGACAAAAGGGAUGACUGCAGGACCUUCCAGGACACAAAGGGAAACCCA